GACGAACGCUGGCGGCGUGCUUAACACAUGCAAGUCGAACGGUGACGAGGAGCUUGCUCCUCUGAUCAGUGGCGAACGGGUGAGUAACACGUGAGCAACCUGCCCCAGACUCUGGGAUAACAGUUGGAAACAGCUGCUAAUACCGGAUACGAGACGGAGAGGCAUCUCUACCGUCUGGAAAGUUUUUCGGUCUGGGAUGGACUCGCGGCCUAUCAGCUAGUUGGUGAGGUAAUGGCUCACCAAGCCGACGAUCUGUAGCUGGUCUGAGAGGACGACCAGCCACACUGGGACUGAGACACGGCCCAGACUCCUACGGGAGGCAGCAGUGGGGAAUUUUGGACAAUGGGCGAAAGCCUGAUCCAGCCAUGCCGCGUGCAGGAUGAAGGCCUUCGGUUGUAACUGCUUUGUACGGAACGAAAGGUACUUUCUAAUUAAAGAAGGACUCAUGACGGUACCGUAAGAAUAAGACACCGGCUAACUAACGUGCC
rnacentral:rRNA from 1 species